CCGCUACACACUGAUCCAAACCGGCUGUGCUGGGUCUGCAAGGAGAAGGCUUUCCGACCAGUCAGCAGAAUCCAUCACAGAUUGAGCACUGCCCUGUGCAACCCACAGUGGAGGGCACAGUGGACAUGGACAUGAACUCAAGGAGUUCACCAAUCUGCUGGAGGAAUCAGGAGCACUUACAGAGUAAACUAAUACUAGGAUAUCUGAAGUCGUUAGUUUGUCCUUGUGGAUAUCAGUGACCUGUGAGACCCUUUAAACUCCUGAGAUUCUAGAUGGAGAAACAUGGAACAGGAAGGUGAUGGGACGAGCCAAAGAUCAUACAGAGAGGCUGUCUCCAUUUCCAUGCCUGUAUUUCCAUCUGUCUCCAUCACCAGAAAUGAACUUAGCCAACAAUUUCUCAUCUGCUCCAAGUUAAGACAGCCCUCAAAAGAGCCAGUGUGGACCAGCUGGGACCAGAGUGCUGGGUCAUAUAAGAUGAAAAUUCCAACAUGAACGCAUUGUUUGCCCCAGGGAAUGAAUGAAGGCCCCAGAAGACGGACAGGUCUAGGACCAAGACAUAGAUAUCCUCUCCCCCUCUCUGUUCUUAGAGAUAAUAAGUUUGAUGAGAAGAAACUGAACAAAUAAAUGGCAAGUGAGAAUCCUCAAGAAGUCAAAUAAAAAUCCUGGCCAAGAACAGCCUUCUUUUUCUUCUUCUUGUUUUUAAAGACAAUGUUUUUGCAUUCAUGGGGAGGGGGGGAACCUGCAGUGAAUCUCUGCUUGACUUGCCUCCCAAAGAGUCACACCUGGGUAUUUUAGGACCUGAGUCAAGUUUGAAGAACUGUGCUCCCUCUUCCCAGCCCUCUCUUUAGAGAACUAAACCAUGGGGGUAACAAUCCUGUAAUUUUAACUGUAUUUAUAAAUCCCUGAUUCUUUAUGUAGUGUUUUUUUUUCCUACACUGCACUUAGUCUGAAUGUUGCUAUUUUCACAGAGGAAAUCAGUGGAAAGAGACUAUAAUUAUAGGUCAAACACCAGCUCCGGAAGCAGUGAAGGCAGCAGAAAGCUGAGGACUCCCUGCGCUCUUCUGGUGACACCCUGGACAUCUCUUGCUUCUGUCCCUAAGCCUGGGCCAGCACUUCACCUCUUUAUCUCUAUAUCUUUGCCCCCUUUUGUUGGUCAGCCUCAAAUAUCAUAAGACAAAAAGGGAAGGUUGGAAUUGAAAGGUAACAAAUUAAAACUGCAUGAUGCUUGGG